AGCUUAAAACCCAAAGGACUUGGCGGUGUCUCAAACCCACCUAGAGGAGCCUGUUCUAGAACUUUACAACCCCCGUUAAACCUCACCACUUCUUGUCUUUCCCGCCUAUAUACCGCCGUCGUCAGCUUACCCUGUGAAGGCCUAACAGUAAGCAAAAUGGGCACACCCAAAAACGUCAGGUCGAGGUGUAGCAUACUAAGUGGGAUAGAAAUGGGCUACA
rnacentral:rRNA from 1 species